GAUGAACGCUGGCGGCGUGCCUAAUACAUGCAAGUCGAGCGAACGGACGAGAAGCUUGCUUCUCUGAUGUUAGCGGCGGACGGGUGAGUAACACGUGGAUAACCUACCUAUAAGACUGGGAUAACUUCGGGAAACCGGAGCUAAUACCGGAUAAUAUUUUGAACCGCAUGGUUCAAAAGUGAAAGACGGUCUUGCUGUCACUUAUAGAUGGAUCCGCGCUGCAUUAGCUAGUUGGUAAGGUAACGGCUUACCAAGGCAACGAUGCAUAGCCGACCUGAGAGGGUGAUCGGCCACACUGGAACUGAGACACGGUCCAGACUCCUACGGGAGGCAGCAGUAGGGAAUCUUCCGCAAUGGGCGAAAGCCUGACGGAGCAACGCCGCGUGAGUGAUGAAAGUCUUCGGAUCGUAAAACUCUGUUAUUAGGGAAGAACAUAUGUGUAAGUAACUGUGCACAUCUUGACGGUACCUAAUCAGAAAGCCACGGCUAACUACGUGCCAGCAGCCGCGGUAAUACGUAGGUGGCAAGCGUUAUCCGGAAUUAUUGGGCGUAAAGGCGCGCGUAGGCGGUUUUUUAGUCUGAUGUGAAAGCCCACGGCCCCACCCGUGGAGGGUCAUUGGAAACUGGAAAACUUGAGUGCAGAAGAGGAAAGUGGAAUUCCAUGUGUAGCGGUGAAAUGCGCAGAGAUAUGGAGGAACACCAGUGGCGAAGGCGACUUUCUGGUCUGUAACUGACGCUGAUGUGCGAAAGCGUGGGGAUCAAACAGGAUUAGAUACCCUGGUAGUCCACGCCGUAAACGAUGAGUGCUAAGUGUUAGGGGGUUUCCGCCCCUUAGUGCUGCAGCUAACGCAUUAAGCACUCCGCCUGGGGAGUACGACCGCAAGGUUGAAACUCAAAGGAAUUGACGGGGACCCGCACAAGCGGUGGAGCAUGUGGUUUAAUUCGAAGCAACGCGAAGAACCUUACCAAAUCUUGACAUCCUUUGACAACUCUAGAGAUAGAGCCUUCCCCUUCGGGGGACAAAGUGACAGGUGGUGCAUGGUUGUCGUCAGCUCGUGUCGUGAGAUGUUGGGUUAAGUCCCGCAACGAGCGCAACCCUUAAGCUUAGUUGCCAUCAUUAAGUUGGGCACUCUAAGUUGACUGCCGGUGACAAACCGGAGGAAGGUGGGGAUGACGUCAAAUCAUCAUGCCCCUUAUGAUUUGGGCUACACACGUGCUACAAUGGACAAUACAAAGGGCAGCGAAACCGCGAGGUCAAGCAAAUCCCAUAAAGUUGUUCUCAGUUCGGAUUGUAGUCUGCAACUCGACUACAUGAAGCUGGAAUCGCUAGUAAUCGUAGAUCAGCAUGCUACGGUGAAUACGUUCCCGGGUCU
rnacentral:rRNA from 1 species